rnacentral:lncRNA from 1 species
CACCUGGAAGGUCGACCAAGGUCCAAACCUUGUUCUCAUACAUUGAGUUCAUUUCGGAUUCCAUGGCAUCUUGCCAUCUCUUCGAAUCAACACUUGACUUUGCUUCUGCGUAAUUUGUAGGUUCAUCAUCCUCGACUAAUAAUACUUGAUUAGUAAUCGUGAAUUCGUACCUUCUGGGAGGUCGAAUGAUCCUACUUGAUUUACGCUGAGCUGGAGUGUCCUCAGGGUUCUCUACAUCCUGAUCAAGAGUCUGUCCAUCAACAGGUGUAGGAUCAGACUCAGGUUCAUCUAAUUGGUCAACAGUAUCUGUGGAUUCUUGAACUUCUUCAAGUUCUAGUUUGCUCCCACUACCCUCUCCUAGAAUAAACUCUUUCUCUAGGAAUAUGGCAUGGCUUGAGAUGAACACCUUCUUCUCAACGGGAUUAUAAAACUGAUAUCCAAUUGUCUCUUUUGGAUAUCCCACAAAUACACAUUUGUCAGAUUUAGCCUCAAGCUUAUCUGAUUCAUUUCGCUUUACAUAAGUAUCACAGCCCCAAACUUUCAUAUGAGAUAAGUUUGGUCUUUUUCCUCUCCAUAGCUUGUAUGGAGUUUUGUCGAUCGAUUUAGAUGGGACACGAUUAAGUGUGUAGCAUGCAGCAAUUAGUGCAUGACCCUAAAAUGAUUUUGGGAUGUUUGUAUGGCUUAUCAUAGAUCGCACCAUGUCUAACAAAGUGCGAUUUCUCCAUCCAGAUACACCAUUAUGUUGCGGUGUAUAUGGCGGAGUCCACUGCGAGAGAAUCACAUUCUCUUUAAGAUAAUUUAAAAAUUCUCCCUUUAAAUAUUCUCUACCUCGAUAUGAUCUCAGCGUGAGUAUACUUUUACCAGUUUGUUUCUCUACUUCAAGUUUGAAUUCCUUGAACUUUUCAAGUGCUUCAUGCUUGAAUUUCAUCAGAUACACAUAACCAUAUCUAGAAUGAUCAUCAGUGAAUGUGAUGAAGUAAGAAAAACCACCUCUGGCAGUUAUUGACAUGGGUCCACAUACAUUAGUAUGUAUUAGUCCCAGCAGUUCUGUGGUUCUUUCUCCUUUUCCAGUAAAAGGGAACUUGGUCAUUUUGCUUAACAGACACGACUCGCAUUUGUCAAAUGAUUCAAAAUCAGUUGACCCCAAGUAUCCAUCUUUAUGUAACUUGGAAAUGCGUUUAUCGUUAAUAUGACACAAUCUGCAAUGCCAGAGGUAUGUAUUAUUUAGAUUAUCACUUUUAUGCCUUUUAUUUUCUAUAUUCAUAAUAGACGACUCACUAUCAAGAAUAUAAAUUCCAUUUUGCAAUACACCACAACCAUAAAAGAUCUCAUCUUUAUAAAACGAACAACGAUUAGUCUUAACAUUAAUUGAAAAAUUAUUCAUGUUCAAACACAAAAUAGAAAUAAUGUUUUUAGUAAUGGGGGGACCAAAAUAACAAUUUUCUAAUUCUAAUACUAAGCCUGAAAGCAGUGGUAAGAAGUAUGUCCCUACAGCUAAUGCAGCAACUCUUGCUCCAUUUCCCACGCGCAGGUCAACUUCUCUUUUCUGCAGUGGUCUACUUCUCUUUAGUCCCUGCAUAUUUAUACAAAUAUGAGAUCCACAUCCGAUAUCUAAUACCCAAGAAACUAAUGAAAUAGACAUAUUAACCUCGAUAACAAAAAUACUUGAAGUAAAAGUUUCAGAAGACUUCUUUCCCUUCAAGCUUGCGAGGUUAGCCUUGUAGUUCCUCUUCCAAUGACCUUUCACUCCAUAGUAAUAGCAUGGGUCAUCAGAUUUGGUAUUGUCUUUGCCUGCUUUGACUGCUUUGUUAUUGCCCUUAGCCUUUUUGGAUGUUUUCUUAAAACUUCCUUUGAUUUUCCUCUUAGUUCUCUUGGAGGAAUGAAUAGCUAAGACAUGCCCAAUACUAGCCUUGACAUUGGACUUCAUAGUUUUAAGCAUACUAAGCAACUCAAAGAGUGUGCAUUCGAUCUUAUUCAUAUUAAAGUGCAUAAUGAACUGUGAAUAAUUAUCUGACAACGAUUGCAGAACCAAGUUAAUACUUAGUUCAUGAUCAAUGAUAAAACCCAGUGAACUCAGUUUUUCAAUGAAACCAAUCAUCUUCAGCACAUGAGCACUGACUGAUGAUCCCUCUACCAUUUUGCACCGGUAUAGUUGUUUAGAGGUCUCAUACCUCUCCACACGUGAUUGUUCAUCAUACAACUCCUUGAAAUGAAAAACCAUAGUGUAAGCAUCCAUACCCUCAUGUUGCUUCUGCAACUCUGGUGACAUAGCUGCAAGCAUCACACAUGCUGCAGUGUUAUCGUCAUCACUGUUUUUAUUCUAAGCAGCCACCUCUUCCUAAGUAGAAUUUUCAGUAGGCACCACUGGAAAGGACUGCUCAAGGACAUAUCCAAUUUUCUCAUGCUUGAGAACGAUUCUAAAAUUGCGAUGCCAAUCGAGAAAAUUUGGUCCGGCCAGUCUGUUGGCAUCCAGUAUGCCUCUCAAAUUCAUAUUAUUACUCAUGAUUCAAAGAACUGUAAAUGACGAAAAACAUAGAAUUAAUAUGUAUUAUAAUGCAUAUGCAUAAAUUCAAUAUGGACUUUAAUUAAACGUGCUCUCACUGUUUAAAACAAAUUCAUGACCCUCAUACAUGAAUUAUUUGAAUCCACACUUGAUUCCUAGUGGGCUGGGAUCCCAUUCGUUGUAUCGAGAUCUUGAGUGUACUCAACAAAUCCUAAUAAAACAUUUGGGUGGAUAUUAUUAUCAAUUGUAUCUCCAUACAACUCUUAGAUCAUUAAGCUGACAACUCUUUUGUCUUCACACAUCUUAUGUGUUAGCCUAACAUGCCUCUAAAACUUAUCUCCUUGAGUGUACUCAACAAAAGAUAAAUUUUAGUUAAGUCAAACCCAUCAUUCAGAAAUAUCAAAUAUUUCAUAGUGUCAAACAUAUCCCUAAUAGACCAGCCUUGAGUGUACUCAACAAGCUAAGGUCGAUUUAGGAUUCUCGUUUUUCACUAUAAUGAUGGAAGACAAAUAAUACUAAUUUAAUAUUUUUAAUGAGGAAUUUAACAUGCAAUGGUCUCAUCAAAUAAUUAUAUAUAUACAUAUAUUUAAACAUACAUCUACUAUGCGAAUAAAUAUAUAUAUAUAAGUAAUAGUAUGGAUGAUUAUGGACUUGUUCUAUCUAGUUUUCCCGAGUCAAAGGGAAAACUAGUCGGUCAAUUCCUAAGGGGUAUAGCAUUGGAUCAAUACCAAUACACCAUCUCCAUAGUGUCCACCUUUUCUUGCGCUUCCAAUUAGCCGAACUUGCAACACGUAUCCUAUACUAGUUGGCACACAGACCUAAAAGAAAUCGAACUCGUAGGCCCAUAAUAAUAACAAUAAUAAUGGACUCGUAGGUCCAAUAUAAUAAAGAGCUCGCAGGCUCACAACAACAAUAAUAAAAACGGACUCGCAGGUCCAAACAACAAUAGGAAGUAAAUCAACCAUUCAACACAUCCAUAUGUUCGAGUCCAUAAUCAUCCAUAAAAAUUCAUCACAUAAAUAUUUCCUAUGUAUAAUAUCUAAUAUUAUAUGCAAUGUCUCAUAAAUCUAGCAAUUAUAGUCGUCAAAACUAAUUCAAAAAUUUUGGGAUCGAGAUAAUUAAACAAUUAAUUAAUCAUAUUGAUUAAUUAAUUUAAUCGACGGGCCUAUUUAAUUAAAAUCAAAUUUUAACUAAAUCCCGAAUUAGAGUCCAACUCUAAUUCCAUAACUAUUGGACGAAGUAAUUUAAUCAAAAUCGAAUUUUAAUUAAUUAUUAAAUUAGAGUCAUACUCUAAGUUUUAAUUUGCAUUGGGAAGUGGUACUAAUUGAAAACAAAUUUUAAUUAAUAUAAUAUUAGAGUCCAACUCUAAUAAAAUUGAAUUAAUAUUUUAAUUUAGGACAAACUUCCCAAACAAAAUAAAAUUCAAUUAAGGGUCAAAACUAAAUAUUUAAGUUAAAAUCUAAUUUUAACAAAAAUAUAAAAGUCAUCAAAUUUUAAAUAAAUUUUAAUUCUGGGUCAAAAUUAGGGUAUGGGUCAAACCCAAUUAAAAACUCAUUUUUAAAACAAUUAAAAAUUCAAAAUCAAAACUUUUUUGACAAUUUACAAAUUUGACCCAAAUUGGAAAUUAACAGCAGACCCUUCCAAACUAAAAAUUUGCAGAACAGGUCCCUCAUUUUAAAAUUGCAAAUUGACCCCAUUUUCGUAAUUGCAACUAGGGACCCCUAAUUACAUUAUUUGCAACAGAGGCCCCCGUCUUCACCACCAAACCCUAAAUUUUUUUUUCCUCCAGUGGCGGCGCCAGUGCUGGAGACAACUAGCGGCGCCCUCACGCUGCAGCAGCGCUUGCCGCACGGUGAGCCGCUUGCCUCAACCCAAAUUUUUGUUUUUUUUUCAAGAACAGAUUCUGAAGAGAAAAAAAAUUAAAACUAUAUUUGCUAGAUUUAGGGAUGAACAUAAUUAAACCAACAUUUAAUUUAAUCAACACGUAAAACAGUUCCUAACAAAUACAAAGUUGGCUCUGAUACCACUGUUGGGAAUUUACUUAAACAUGCACAACGAAAUUUAACAAAUUUCAAUUCCCAUUCAGGAUUCAGCUUUGUAUUUAGAUAAAAACUGUGAUAAGAAAUAUAUUUUUUCUUUAAUUUGCAAAUUCCUUCGCGUUAUUCCUUUCCAGCAGCUUGAAUCUGUCUCCCACAGCUGUCCAAUUGUCCAGGCUCUAAUGAAAUCCACACAGAGAAUAGACUGCAACUGCUAGGGUUUUCUCUCUUGUGCCAACAAGAAUAAUGAAAAUCUUAUGGAUUUUAAACCCUAGUCAUAUAUUUAUAUAAACUCAAACAGGCUCGACCCGGUCCGGUCCAUUGUUUAAUUAGUCCAUUUAAUUAAACCCGGUCCGUGAAUUAAUCGAUCCAAUUAAUUAAUUCGAAAAUAUAAAUAACAAAUCUAAUUAAUUAAUUUAUCCAACGAUUGUUAAAUUAAUCAAUUGGGAAUUUGCAACCUAUCAAUUCUCUUUUGUGUACGACCUAUUAGGUUCUCGACCACGAUACCUAACGACGUGAAAUAUUAUUUUGAUCUAAUCAAAACUGAUAAAUUAAACACUAUUUUAAUUUAUCACAGAUUCACACUCGUCGUCCCAAAUUGAUAUCUAACAAUGUAUCAGGGCAACACAUGUGACGGGAAAUGUCACGUGGUAUGACAAAACCAAAACUGUUUGUUUACCAUGAAAUUAUAAUCCCUUCGUCAAUAUGAUCCGAUCAACUACGAGAUAUGGAAGUGUGUCAAUCUUGUUUAUCAAUCAUAUCUUUCAUUCUUCUAUUAAGUCAAUAUGAGUCGAAAACUCUUUUUCGACUUAUAUGUACACUUUGGCCAAGGAUUUCAUUAUUGACUUAAUUGAACGAAAUGUAGAUCACAACCUCUUACUAUCUAAGAGUGACGAAUCCUCUAUUGAUCAUUCACAACCUUCAUAUGGUUCUUGACAUACCCGAACGAUGUCGUAUUAGCGGCCCUUGGCAGAGCAACAUCCAACACCGUCAAAAUAUGACUGUCCUCAUAUAAGGUACUAUGAUGACCUCAAGUUAUAGGACCAAUUUCAUUACCGAACGUUAGAGACUAACCACUAACACUCAGAUAGUUAUCCAUGUGGAAUCUCUUAACGGGUCUCCAAUAUUUUGUUCUAUAACAAAACAUCCACGUGUUCAUUUAAGUGUCACCACACUUUAACUAGUGAGAUCAGCUACUUACUUCACAAGUAAGAAAUACCACACGUGAUGGUCUAACUGUAUUAACGAUAUCCGUAUCUCGUUAUUGCUUACGACCACGGUUUAUUCAAGAUCCAAUUAUAUGUAAUUUGUAUCUCACAAUCACAACUUCUUGUCAUUAACAAAUCACUUAAACUUGAAUUUUCGGAUUCUAUUAUUUAAUAUUAUUUAUCACGAAAUUAAUUUAAAUAAAUAAUAGAUCUCGCCAAAAUUAAAUACAUUAAAUAUAUUAAAAGCGUUUACAACCUAAAUCGAAUCGAUUUAGGGCAUAACACUUACAAUAAGAACCUUUCUAAUCAAUAAAAACAUUUUCUUGAAACUGAACAAACAAAAGCAACCCUAUCUCCUUUCUUGAAUUAAAAUCAACUGCAACAAGGAAGGCUCACACAGUCACAUUUGCUAGAGGAAUUCUAAACGGGGAACCAAAGAAAAUCUAAAAAAUUCUUUAAUCCACACAUUGACGUAAUAAGACAAUUACCAGUAAAUGUGUUUGUGGAAGCCGAGGUUAGUGGCAGGGUGAGGACAUUGAUGACUAAAGAUAAGGUUAACAAGGCGAAAGCAUUUGUGGCCCGUGGGCAUGGUAUUAUAAUGAUUGAAAAAUAUGUGAUGUGGAGAAGAAGACGCCAUGAAAAGCAAGCUUUUAUUAUAGAUAGAUAGAUAUACAGGAAAAAGAUGCAAGCAAACCACCAGGCUACGCCAGUGAGCGUCCUGGUACGGCAGUUUCUAGUAACAAGCCAGUAAGGUUGUAGUCAUGGCGGCUAGAGGUUGAUGCUCCCGACUCCCGAGAGUUGGCUCUAGGGCGCGCAGUGUGAGGCCCAUUAAACUUUUCUUUUCUCUUCGAAGAUCGCAUUGUUGUGCAUGUGUGUGACAAUUGACAAGACUCACAAGACUUCAAUAAUGAUAAAAG